UACGUAGGUGGCAAGCGUUAUCCGGAAUUACUGGGCGUAAAGGGCGCGUAGGCGGAAUGGCAAGUCGGUCGUGAAAUCCUUCGGCUCAACCGAAGAACGUCGAUCGAAACUGCCGUUCUUGAGUACUGCAGGGGAGACUGGAAUUCCUGGUGUAGCGGUGGAAUGCGCAGAUAUCAGGAGGGAACACCGGUGGGCGAAGG
rnacentral:rRNA from 1 species